rnacentral:rRNA from 1 species
AACGAACGCUGGCGGCAUGCCUAACACAUGCAAGUCGAACGAGACCUUCGGGUCUAGUGGCGCACGGGUGCGUAACGCGUGGGAAUUUGCCCUUCGGUUGGGAAUAACUGAGAGAAAUUUCAGCUAAUACCUUAUAAUGUCUUCGGACCAAAGAUUUAUCGCCGAGGGAUGAGCCCGCGUAGGAUUAGGUAGUUGGUGGGGUAAUGGCCUACCAAGCCGACGAUCCUUAGCUGGUCGGAGAGGAUGAUCAGCCACACUGGGACUGAGACACGGCCCAGACUCCUACGGGAGGCAGCAGUGGGGAAUAUUGGACAAUGGGCGAAAGCCUGAUCCAGCAAUGCCGCGCGAGUGAUGAAGGCCUUAGGGUUGUAAAGCUCUUUUACCCGGGAUGAUAAUGACAGUACCGGGAGAAUAAGCUCCGGCUAACUCCGUG